rnacentral:pre_miRNA from 1 species
UCGCGGCUACCAGCCGGCAAUACGGCUAUCAGCCGGGCCUGUCUGUAAUAUACUAUAGUAUACUACAGACACGCCCGGCUGAUAGCCGUAUGUCGGCUGGUACCCGCGAUGUAUUGUAGUAUACUAUAGUAUACUACAGAUAGGCCCGGCUGAUAGCCGUAUUGUCGGCUGGUAGCCGUGAAGUA